rnacentral:lncRNA from 1 species
CAGAGCGUUCCUGAAUAUUUUUGAUACGAAAAGUCUCCCAAAUCACCCCGAGGUUCAACUUUGGAAUUGGCAGAGACCAAAAACUUACCUAGAGGUAAUUUGCGUGCAGUCACCCUGUCUUGGGGUCCAGAACAGUCAAUAUAUGAUCUGACCAUGUCACCUUUGCUCACAGAAUCAGGAAGCAUAAUCUAUCACUUUACAAGAAGAGAUUGAACUCUCGAUAUCACUCUGCCCCUGAAUUGCAAGUCUUGAAGCAGCCAGCCGCAUUCAGAUUUUUCUAUCCUGCUGAAGUUGUAACAUGGUCCAAGAGUGACUUUGGCAUGAUCUGCUGGUUUUAUGUGCACUGAAUUCAUUUUGAGCCUCAGCAGUAGGCUGCUGCACUCAGCUCUGAUUUAAGGAGGUGAUGUAAACUCACUAACAUCAAUGGCAAGAUUCUCAUGGAUUUCUUAAGAGUGGAAUCAUCACCCAGAUAGCACAGCAAGGUGUACAGCUUGAGGAACUCUCCAGAGGAAAUACCAUUGCUGUUGAUUCCAGCAAGAAACCAUGCUGUUAAAUAAUUAUGUGAUCCUAUCCAACAAGAUAGAUCAAUCUGGAGGGGAAGAUGCAGCUGUUCAAAGUAAAAAACAACUCAUGGCUCAUUUGUGAUCACUGUGGAAAUUUUACAUCCCCUAAAAAAGCUGUACUCAGUGAAGACUAUUCUUUGACGAAGAGCUUCCUGGUAUACUAUUCCUAACUAUUAGCAACGUGCCAAUGCUCAAUGAAAACAUGAACACAGAUAUCAAGAAAAAUUACUUGUCCUGAAAAGGCUGCUUCACCACUGAAUUUAUUCUUUCAUGGCACUCGGAUCAAAUCCAUUUGUUAUCACAGGGAGAAAGCAAGGCAAGGCAAGGUAGGAUGUGUCUGAAACAGGUGAGAUAUCUUUUGAAUGUGUACAUUUUUCUUUACUGAAGAUUUUAAAAAAAAAAAUAGUCGAUAAAGAGACAUUGUAAAUUAUGUAUUUUAGGGACUGUCUUCUGGC